AUGUAUAAUUAGUAAGCAUUAAAAGUCCCACUUUGACAUAUAAUUAAGCAGAAGAAUAGAAAAGUGAUACUGAUUGCUUUGCUUUUCUUUCUUUUUAGUUGCAUUGGCUUGAUGACCUUUUCUCCCUUCCUUUUUCAUUGUAUUGGCUGAGUGAUGUAAGCAUAACAUAUUCACUUUUUUGUUAUUGUAUUUAGAUGAUCUUAACAUAUACUGUUCUCCCUUGACUACCUUAACAGUCAGGGAGUGGUAUCAAACCAAGGCUUGUGGUGUCAAGAGAAAUGAACUUAGGACUAUUCUCUUACCCGUGAAGUAAUAACCUCUCUCUCUCUCUCUCUCUCUCUCUCACUCUCUGAAUAUUUAAUUGUGUUGCUAAAGCUCUCUCCACCCACCAUCAAUAUUCAACCAGUGAGACAAUACUCUCAAGUUAAGCUCUUCCUUUAUUUCUCUCUCUCUCUCUCUCUCUCUCUCUCUUUUUUGUGAUUCUCUGAUUGUCAUGAUCAAAUCUCAAAGAGGCAACAAAGUUCUUCAUCAAUUCCUGGCUAACAUCAUCGCUGUUGCUUUACUCAAAUAAGAUUUGAUUUAAAAAUGGUAAUUCCCCCACUAAACAAAACAAGGAAAGAACACUUUUCCUCAUUUCAUGUGAGCCAUUCAAUUGCAUGGCUGGCCACAUGCUCUUCACCAUCCCUUAACUAAUGUCCUUGCAGUUCUUUUUCUAUCAUGCAAUCAAAUCCAAAAGGAAAAAGGUAGGACAGGAGAUUGGCUCAUCCUUGUUCCCUCUUUAUAUUUUGAUGAUGGGCCUAUUAGAAAAUUACUACCACCUUUUUCUUCUUUUCAAUUUUUUCAGGCAGAAGAUUGGAGACCACCAUGCCUAAACUCACCGACUUCUUACUUUACCUGUUGUUUAGUACUUUUUCCUGAUAUACAAAGCAUAUAGUGGCAGAAGAAUGGGACGGGCUCACAGUCAUUACAGAUACUAUGCACAUGUUACUUGUCGAAAAUUAAUUAGCUCAAAAAGGGAGUCAAAUAAUCUAAAAUCUUUAAAUUAUUAUAAAUACUAUGCACAUGUUACUUGUCGAAACUUUAUUGGUUCCUAUGAGUUAAAUAACCUAAAAUCUUUAGGUCAAUCGGUACUCCAAUUGUUUCUACAAAAUAAUUAGACUAGAAAUGUUUUAUUUUUAUUGGAUGAAGCAUGUAUCAUUUGGUCUUUGACAUGUAACAUUAUUAUUAUCCCACCAAUAUGCUAUGACAUUGUGGUAUGUGAAGCAUGCAAGACAAAUAAAUCAUGGGGAAAGUACACCUUGUGGCCAGGCUCAAGUGGGGCAAGGCUUGGGGUUGGGGAGGGUGAAGUUCCAGGUUCAAUUCCAUGUAAGAGCUGAAAAAAACACUCUACAUAUCAAGGAAAAAGAAAGGAAUCAUGAGCAAAGUUCCCUUUUCCAGGAAAGCAACUUCCUACAACAGAAUAUAUAAGAAUGGUUACUCUUUGACUUUGUACAGCACAGAACUUGGUUUCAACAAAUUUCAUUCUUAUUGCUCUGCAAACUCACUGGUUACCUAAGUUUUCUUUAAUUAUUUGACCUCGUUUUCCCUGAUGCCAAACAAACCUAAAAUAUAUACAAUUAUGAUCAGCCCCUUGGUAGUUAUGACGGUCUUGACUAACUCCCUAUUGUUUCAGGUAUUCCAUGGAGCCAAAGAAAAGAUAGGCAUUGCCUUCUUUCCAUCCAUCUUUGUUUUAUUUGUAUGAAAGUGGAGGAAUAUGGGCACCUAUAAAAACAAAAGGUGAGGAAACUUAGAGGGGAAAACCAUUAAAGAAAAAAAAAAGAGUGAGAAAAGACACAGAAAGAUAAGUUUCUUAGUAUAAGAAAGGAUCUUAAAAAAGUUAUUCUCAAUGCUAAAUAUAAUAAAAAAUUUCAAAGCGGGUUCUUAUGCUUAUUGCUUUUAAGAUUUUGAGAUUGCUUUCUUUACUAGCUCUCCGUCAAAUCCUGUUUACUUAAGAUAAGUCAUGCCUACCUACCUUUGUGUACCAUAGAUCACCAUUAUUGCUUAUAUCUUUAGUUCUCCAGCCUUAAUGUAAAAUGCUUCAGCGAUCAUCAUCUAGGCCUUUUGCAGGCCAAAUUUUUCUUUUUAACUGCAAAAGCUAUAAGACUUAUUGAUCUGAUUUCUACACAAUUCAUGCCAUUUGUGUAAGCAUCGAUCAUUAAAGUGAAAGCACCAUAUACUUGCUUCACCCAUAUCUAAUGCAUAUUUGGCAGGGGAUUGACAUCAGUUGAUUGAUCUAGAACACACUGUGAAGGCUAACCUGAUAGAAUGGCAAGAUGGUCAUUACAAAUGGGCAUGUUGCUUUUCUUGUGGUGGGCGAUCAUCGAUUGCCUUACAUGCUACGCUUGAAAAGGGUCAAGGAAAGUAAGUGACAUGAGCGCUUACGAAACUAUGAUUAUAUGCAUGAAAUUGUGACUAAAACAUGACAGCUCUUGUCCCCUUAUAAUGUCUUGUAUUUUAUAGAAGUAAAAAUAAGGCAUUAGGACAAGUGGGAGAUUGAAUUUUGCAAAGAAUCUUUAAUCACAUUGCUUUGGUUUUGCUUUCUUUAUUUGAGAUGGAAGUACAAAAGUUAUUGGAAUCUUAAGAAAACCAGAGCCUCCAUUUCUCUAUAAAAAUCGAGUUGGAGCCCAUUUGCCUUGUACCAUUGGCUCUUUCUGCACAUGGAAAGUUUCAAGUUAUUUUUUUUCCUUUGCCCUUUGAGGUAGUUAGUAUUCCUCUGUGGACAUUCUCUGCUUUGUUUCAGUAUCUGAAAGACUUGGAUUAUUUCUAUUGCCUUUUCAUUGAAUGCAUAUAUACCUCAGAUAUUAGAGUUCAUUUUUAA